UCCCUGGUGGCCCAGUGGCUGAGACUUUGUGUUCCCAACACAGGGGGCCCAGGUUCGAUCCCUGGUCAGGGAA
rnacentral:tRNA from 1 species